rnacentral:misc_RNA from 1 species
GAUGAAGAACGUAGCGAAAUGCGAUACGUAAUGUGAAUUGCAGAAUUCAGUGAAUCAUCGAGUCUUUGAACGCACAUUGCGCCCCCUGGUAUUCCGGGGGGCAUGCCUGUCCGAGCGUCAUUGCUGCCCUCAAGCACGGCUUGUGUGUUGGGCCUCCGUCCUCCUCCCGGGGGACGGGCCCGAAAGGCAGCGGCGGCACCGCGUCCGGUCCUCGAGCGUAUGGGGCUUCGUCACCCGCUCUUGUAGGCCCGGCCGGCGCUUGCCGACACAUCAAUCUUUUUCCAGGUUGACCUCGGAUCAGGUAGGGAUACCCGCUGAACUUAAGCAUAUCAAUAAGCGGAGGA